UGUUACCAAAAAUUAUUACUUCCCUCUGCCAGCAGACUCUCUCUCUUGCCUUCUUGGUUGGCACACUGGGAAGAAGCAAGUUGCAGCGUUGGAGAGGCCCAUGUGGCAAGGGACUGAGAGCAACCUCUGACCAACAGCCGCUGAUCCUACAGAUGAGACUCCAGCCCUUGUGCUGCCUCAUGAGAGACCCUGGAGCAGACGCCCCAGCUGAACUAUGCCUGGAUCCCUACCCACAGAAACUGGAAGACAAUAAGAGUGGUGUUUACAUUUCUUUUAUUCUCAUAAAAAUCAUAUAACAUGAAAUUUUUCCAUUCUAACCAUUAAAAACGUAUUUUUUGUGUGUGUGA